rfam:Dipodomys ordii contig_72542, whole genome shotgun sequence.
GGGAAUAUGGCUUAGUGGCAGAGUGCUUGCCUAAUAUGCAUGAAGUCUGGGUUCGAUUCCUCAGUACCA